GACGAACGCUGGCGGCGUGCUUAACACAUGCAAGUCGAACGGAAAGGCCCUGUAUUUGUGGGGUGCGCGAGAGGAGAACGGGGGAGUAAAACGUGAGUAACCUGCCCUUGACAUUGGGAUAACAUCAGGAAACAGGGGCGAAUACCGGAUAGGAGAUCCUGAAGCACGAGGGGGGUUGGAGAGUUUCGGCGGUUCGGGAUGGAAUGGCGGCUUAUCAGCUUGUUGGCGGGGUAGUGGCUUACCACUGCACUGACGGGUAGCCGCCUUGCGAGGGUGACCGGCCCCAUUGGGCUUGGGAUGCGGCCCAGACUCCUACGUGAGGCAUCAGUGGAAAAUUUUGCACGAUGGGCGGAGGCCUUAUGCAGCAUCGCCGCGUGCGGGAUGUCUGCCUGCGGGUUGUAAACCGCUUUCGCCUGGGACGCAGCGUGAGUGACGGUAAUUGGUAAAGAAGCACCGGCUAACUACGUG
rnacentral:rRNA from 1 species